UUUGGGGGCCAAUCAGGUGGAGUUACCAUGAACUCCCCCAGGCUUGAAAAAGAGCAAGGGUAAUGAGUAUUUUCCAGGUUGGUUGGUCUCCUUUUAUUU
rnacentral:SRP_RNA from 1 species